AUGCUUGCUUUGGCAGCAUGUAUACCAAAAAUUGGAACGAUACAGAGAAGAUUAGCCUGGCUCCUGUGCAUGGUUGACAUGUAAAUUUAUGAAGCAUUCCAUAUUUUU
ensembl:snRNA U6 U6 spliceosomal RNA